AAUGUCCCCCAGCUUAUAUGUUAAAAAAGGCCCUGCUACAAGCACGCUUUUGAAGUUUUUCAAUGUCGUCGGACAGGUAUUUUGGGAGAGAGUAAUGGAAAAUGAACUAUCCCACGCAACCGCAUGAUCAAAACAAAAAAGCUAUUUCUGAAAGGUUUGUAAUGGAAAAAAGCGUUGAAUAAUACUUCGUUUUGAGUGCCAAAUCACUUGCGAGUCUAUACAG